rnacentral:rRNA from 1 species
UACUAGAGUAGCACUCGCAUAUCAAUAAGCGGAGGAAAAGAAACUAACAAGGAUUCCCCUAGUAACGGCGAGUGAAGCGGGAAGAGCUCAAAUUUGAAAUCUUAAAGGGUUUCCCUUUACGAAUUGUAGUUUAAAGAAGUGUUUUCUGUUGAGGUUUUGGUAAAAGUUCUUUGGAAUAGGACAUCAUAGAGGGUGAGAAUCCCGUAUUUGACCUUUACUUUCAACUUUGUGAUACACUUUCAAAGAGUCGGAUUGUUUGGGAAUGCAGUCCAAAAUGGGUGGUAAAUUUCAUCUAAAGCUAAAUAUUGGCGAGAGACCGAUAGCGAACAAGUACCGUGAGGGAAAGAUGAAAAGAACUUUGAAAAGAGAGUUAAACAGUACGUGAAAUUGUCAAAAGGGAAGCGUUUGACACCAGUGUUGUUUUUCUGAAAAUCAAUUAAAGAACUGUUUAUGCUAAGUUGUUUAGACUUUAUCAGCUAACUGUUUAGUUUUGAGCUUUUCUUUAAUGCACUUUUCAGUUAACAAGUCAACAUCAAUUUCUUUUGCUGUAAAAAAGCUUGAGGAAGGUGGCUUGAGAUUCGUCUUAAGUGUUUAUAGCCUCUUGCCUAUGCAGUCGGAGAGAUUGAGGUCUGCAGCGUAGAUCCUUCGGGGCUAAAUGCAUUUGUGCUAAGUUAUAGCAUUUUAUAGACAACUUGUUGACUAUGAUUUGUCUUGUAGCUUACUCGCUUAUGUUAUUUUACCUACGCUUAGGAUGUUGAGUAGCGACAUACGCA